UACGGAGGGUGCAAGCGUUACUCGGAAUUACUGGGCGUAAAGCGCACGCAGGCGGCUUGUUAAGUCGGAUGUGAAAGCCCCGGGCUCAACCUGGGAACUGCAUUCGAUACUGGCAAGCUAGAGUAUGUGAGAGGGGGGUAGAAUUCCGAGUGUAGCGGUGAAAUGCGUAGAGAUUUGGAGGAAUACCAGUGGCGAAGGCGGCCCCCUGGCACACUACUGACGCUGAGGUGCGAAAGCGUGGGGAGCAAACAGG
rnacentral:rRNA from 1 species